GGAGCUCUGACGAGUUCUAAAGACAUCAAGAAAUGAUGAAACGGGUCAAAUUCCAAAGGGGUUUCACCUAAAUAAUCAAGGAAAUAAAGAGAUUCUUGUGAUUUUAGGAUUGAGUAGGUCAAAUCGACAAAUUGGAAUUAACUGUUUCACCAUUUAAAUCAACUCUUGACUGUUUUCAGUCUAAUUUUUACACCUUUUC
rnacentral:lncRNA from 1 species